CACGCCGUGGGGGGCUGGGAGCCUCUGACCGGGAACCCCCCCACCCCCCUACCCGGCCACCCUUGUCUACCGGACCUGUUGCCUCGGCGGGCCUGCAGCGAUGCUGCCGGGGGAGCUUCUCCUCCCCGGGCCCGUGUCCGCCGGGGACACCGCAAGAACCGUCGGUGAACGAUUGGCGUCUGAGCAUGAGAGCGAUAAUAAUCCAGUCAAAACUUUAACACGGAUCUCUUGGUUCCGACAUCGAUGAAGAACGCAGCGAAAUGCGAUAAGUAAUGUGAAUUGCAGAAUUCCGUGAAUCAUCCGAAUCUUUGAACGCACAUUGCGCCCCCUGGUAUUCCGGGGGGCAUGCCUGUCCGAGCGUCAUUGCAACCCUCAAGCGCGGCUUGUGUGUUGGGCCAUCGUCCCCCCUCGACCGGCGGGACGUGCCGAAAUGCAGUGGCGGUGUCGAGUUCCGGUGCCCGAGCGUAUGGGGCUUUGCCACCCGCUCUGGAGGCCCGGCCGGCUCCUGCCCACCAU
rnacentral:misc_RNA from 1 species